AGAGUUUGAUCCUGGCUCAGAACGAACGCUGGCGGCGUGCUUAACACAUGCAAGUCGCGUGCGCAGUUGCCGUAGCAAUACGGUGAUGGGCGCACGGCGCACGGGUGCGUAACACGUGGGCAAUCUGCCCUUUGAUGGGGAAUAACCCGCCGAAAGGCGGGCUAAUUCCGCAUAAGAUUCCCGGAACUUCGGUUCUGGGAUUGAAAGCAGCAAUGCGUCGAAGGAGGAGCCCGCGCCCGAUUAGCUAGUUGGUGAGGUAACGGCUCACCAAGGCAAUGAUCGGUAGCUGGUCUGAGAGGAUGAUCAGCCACACUGGAACUGAGACACGGUCCAGACUCCUACGGGAGGCAGCAGUGGGGAAUCUUGCACAAUGGGCGAAAGCCUGAUGCAGCGACGCCGCGUGGGGGAUGAAGCAUUUCGGUGUGUAAACCCCUUUCGACUGGGACGAAUGCCUCGCAAGAGGAGUGACGGUACCAGUAGAAGAAGCCCCGGCUAACUACGUGCCAGCAGCCGCGGUAAGACGUAGGGGGCCAGCGUUGUUCGGAAUUACUGGGUGUAAAGGGUUCGUAGGCGGUGCGGCAAGUUGGGAGUGAAAUCUCUGGGCUUAACCCAGAGGCUGCUUCCAAAACUGCUGUGCUCGAGUGUGAGAGAGGCUCGUGGAAUUGCAGGUGUAGCGGUGAAAUGCGUAGAUAUCUGCAGGAACACCCGUGGCGAAAGCGGCGAGCUGGAUCACUACUGACGCUGAGGAACGAAAGCUAGGGGAGCAAACAGGAUUAGAUACCCUAGUAGUCC
rnacentral:rRNA from 1 species